rnacentral:rRNA from 1 species
AUGGGAGGCGAGCCAGGUGACCAGGAGCCGUCGCCGGCGAGCGCGCGGCCGCACGUGGUGCUCCUGUGCAGCCCGUGCAUGGGGCACCUCAUCCCAUUCGCCGAGCUGGCGCGCCGGCUCGUAGCCGACCAUGGUCUCGCCGCCACGCUCCUCUUCGCCGCGGCCACGGACGCCCCCUCGGAGCAGUACGCCGCCCUGGCCGCGUCCGUGCCCGAUGGCGUCGACCUAGUCGCGCUGCCCGCGCCACCGGCGGACGCCCUGCCGCCCUCGACCCCCGUGCGCGAACGCGUCGUGCAUGCUGCCCUCUCGGCUGUCCCGCACGUCCGGGACACCGCCCGGUCGCUGGUCUCUACCGCGCCGCUCGCCGCGCUCGUGGUGGACAUGGCCAGCGUGCCGGCACGCGACGUUGCCGCGGAGCUGGGCGUGCCGUGCUACAUGUUCUUCACCUCGCCGUGGAUGCUCCUGUCCCUCUUCCUGCACCUCCCGGAGCUCGACGCGGGGCUCGUCGGGGAGUACCGGGACGCGACGGACCCGAUCCGGCUGCCAGGCUGCGUGCCGAUCCACGCACGCGAGCUUCCCGGGUCUCUGCUCGCCGACCGGAGCAGCGAGACGUACGCUGGGUUCCUGUCCUUGGCCAAGGAAGCCGCGAGAGUCGACGGGAUUCUCGUGAACACGUUCCGUGAGGUGGAGCCCGCGGUGGGCGAAGGCGCGGGCGGUGUGAAGGGCAUGCCGGUGUACGCGGUCGGACCGUUGGUAUGGGCCAGGCCGGUCGCGGUCGGCGUGAACCGGGAGCCGGAGCACGCACGCCUCAUCACGUGGCUGGACCAGCAGGCACGUGGUUCCGUUGUCUUCCUCUCGUUCGGGAGCGGUGGCACGCUCACGUGGCGUCAGACAACCGAGCUAGCACUUGCGCUGGAGGCGACCGGACGUCCGUUCAUCUGGGCGGCAAAGAGGCCACACGAGGACACGGCGGACGGCGCCUUCUUCGGAACCGACGGAGGAGGAGGCAACGACAAUGACCCACUCGGCUUCCUGCCGGGGGGCUUCGUCGAGAGGACGGCGGGGGUGGGGCUCGUCCUCCUGUCAUGGGCACCGCAGACGUCGAUCCUCGCGCACGCCGCCGUCGGCUGCUUCGUGACGCACUGCGGAUGGAACUCGAGUCUGGAGAGCAUCCUCAAUGGAGUGCCGAUGGUUGCAUGGCCGCUCUACGCGGAGCAGAAGAUGAACGCGGCGAUGCUGGAGGUCCACGCAGGGGUGGCGACCCGGGUUAACACCGCCGGGCCUGCUGGCGAGGGCUUUGUCUGCAAGGAAGAGAUGGUGAACGUGAUCCAACGUGUGAUGGAGGGGGACGAAGCAACGAUGAUGAGGAGGCGUGUUGGUGAGCUCAGAGACAGAGCCACACGCGCGCUGACCAUGGAUGGUUCUUCAAAUCUUGCACUAGCCAAGGUCACGGAUGUGUGGAAGUCUUCUACUUCUAGUGACAAAAAAUAA